GGGUUGUGAGGUUAAGCGACUAAGCGUACACGGUGGAUGCCCUGGCAGUCAGAGGCGAUGAAGGACGUGCUAAUCUGCGAUAAGCGUCGGUAAGGUGAUAUGAACCGUUAUAACCGGCGAUUUCCGAAUGGGGAAACCCAGUGUGUUUCGACACACUAUCAUUAACUGAAUCCAUAGGUUAAUGAGGCGAACCGGGGGAACUGAAACAUCUAAGUACCCCGAGGAAAAGAAAUCAACCGAGAUUCCCCCAGUAGCGGCGAGCGAACGGGGAGCAGCCCAGAGCCUGAAUCAGUGUGUGUGUUAGUGGAAGCGUCUGGAAAGGCGCGCGAUACAGGGUGACAGCCCCGUACACAAAAAUGCACAUAUUGUGAGCUCGAUGAGUAGGGCGGGACACGUGGUAUCCUGUCUGAAUAUGGGGGGACCAUCCUCCAAGGCUAAAUACUCCUGACUGACCGAUAGUGAACCAGUACCGUGAGGGAAAGGCGAAAAGAACCCCGGCGAGGGGAGUGAAAAAGAACCUGAAACCGUGUACGUACAAGCAGUGGGAGCACGCUUAGGCGUGUGACUGCGUACCUUUUGUAUAAUGGGUCAGCGACUUAUAUUCUGUAGCAAGGUUAACCGAAUAGGGGAGCCGAAGGGAAACCGAGUCUUAACUGGGCGUUAAGUUGCAGGGUAUAGACCCGAAACCCGGUGAUCUAGCCAUGAGCAGGUUGAAGGUUGGGUAACACUAACUGGAGGACCGAACCGACUAAUGUUGAAAAAUUAGCGGAUGACUUGUGGCUGGGGGUGAAAGGCCAAUCAAACCGGGAGAUAGCUGGUUCUCCCCGAAAGCUAUUUAGGUAGCGCCUCGUGAA
rnacentral:rRNA from 1 species